GACUCUCUGUAAUGGAUAUCUCAGCUCUCAUAUCGAUGAAGAAUGUAGCAAAAUGUGAUACUUGGUGUGAAUUGCAAAAUCCCUUGAACCAUUGCGUCUUUGAACGUAAGUUGUACCUAAAGCCACUAGGCCUAGGGCACGUCUGCCAGGGUAUCA